rnacentral:tRNA from 1 species
GGAUGGUUACUCAAGUCUGGUGAAGAGGACUGGUUGCUAACCAGUUAGCCGGGUACUCCCCGGGCAGGGGUUCGAAUCCCUUACCAUCCUCCA